rnacentral:rRNA from 1 species
UACGAGGGGGGCGAGCGUUGUUCGGAAUUAUUGGGCGUAAAGGGUGCGUAGGCGGUUUGGUAAGUCUCGUGUGAAAUCUCCGGGCUCAACUCGGAGCCUGCACGAGAAACUGCCGGGCUUGAGUGUGGGAGAGGUGAGUGGAAUUCCUGGUGUAGCGGUGAAAUGCGUAGAUAUCAGGAGGAACACCUGUGGCGAAAGCGGCUCACUGGACCAUAACUGACGCUGAGGCACGAAAGCUAGGGGAGCAAACAGG